GUAUAUACAAAUUGACUAUGAUGGCGAAAAAUUAAUAGAAAUAGCUCCCACGAUUUGGCUUGAAGAGGAGGAAACAUCGUGUUUCGGCCACCAGCUUCUAAACUAAAAAGUUUCUGUAAAAAGGGAAAUGUACAUCCCCUUCCAUCCUAGAGUAGACAGACGUAUGAUAAAAUCCUUGGAAAAUACGGUAAAUAUUAUCGAUUUAGUUCAAUUAUUAAUGUAAUUUACUUGAUUAUAUAAUUUAAAUAAAAAUCUCAAUUGCAGAUACGUGGAAAUUAGCUUGUGAGAAGGCGGAUAACGGAGGACACUUCCAAUCUUGAAAGCGCAUCAGAGAAUCGUUGAGAAAGCCGAAAUAAGAAACAUUAUCGAGAAUUGUUGCACCCGAACGUGUCAUCAAGCAGCAGUGAAGACGAGGAAGAUAAUUCCAUUAUAGUUUUACCUCUUCCCAUAGACAAUCAAGGAAGCAUUGAAGUGCAAGUAUCAACUCAAAACAACGACAACAUUCCUUCAGUAAAUCAACCAGAAGUGGGCAACUUGGAAGAGCAAGACAUUGGCGUACUUUUGGCGACAUUAGAGAUGAUUUUAAGAAAUUGAUUGAAGGUUAUCAUACAAGGAUUAUUAAAAUUCUUUAGCGGCAAA